rnacentral:rRNA from 1 species
GAUCAUAGCUCAGGAUGAACGCUGGCGGCGUGCCUAACACAUGCAAGUCGAACGAAGCACUUUGAUUUGAUUCUUCGGAUGAAGAUCAUUGUGACUGAGUGGCGGACGGGUGAGUAACGCGUGGGUAACCUGCCUCAUACAGGGGGAUAACAGUUAGAAAUGACUGCUAAUACCGCAUAAGACCACGGAGUCGCAUGACUCAGUGGGAAAAACUCCGGU